UGGGGCUGAUUCUGGAUUCGACAAGAUUCACGAAACCCAAGGUGCAUGCCGAGGUGCGGUAGGCCUCGUUAACAAACCGCAAAAAAAUAGUCGCAAACGACGAAAACUACGCACUCGCAGCUUAAUAACCUGCGCUGAGCCCUUCUACCCUAGCUUGCCUGUGUCCUAGGGAAUCGGAAGGUCAUCCUUCACAGGAUCGUGUGGAAGUCCUGCUCGGGGCGGAAGCAUUAAAACCAAUCGAGCUAGUCAAUUCGUGGCGUGUCUCUCCGCAGCGGGUUGGCGAAUGUAAAGAGUGACUAAGCAUGUAGUACCGAGGAUGUAGUAAUUUUGGACGGGGGUUCAACUCCCCCCAGCAAGGGCGAAUUCGCGGCCGCUAAAUUCAA
rnacentral:tmRNA from 1 species